rnacentral:rRNA from 1 species
GACGAACGCUGGCGGCGUGCCUAAUACAUGCAAGUUGAGCGAUGAAGAUUGGUGCUUGCACCAAUUUGAAGAGCAGCGAACGGGUGAGUAACGCGUGGGGAAUCUGCCUUUGAGCGGGGGACAACAUUUGGAAACGAAUGCUAAUACCGCAUAACAACUUUAAACAUAAGUUUUAAGUUUGAAAGAUGCAAUUGCAUCACUCAAAGAUGAUCCCGCGUUGUAUUAGCUAGUUGGUGAGGUAAAGGCUCACCAAGGCGAUGAUACAUAGCCGACCUGAGAGGGGGAUCGGCCACAUUGGGACUGAGACACGGCCCAAACUCCUACGGGAGGCAGCAGGAGGGAAUCUUCGGCAAUGGACGAAAGUCUGACCGAGCAACGCCGCGUGAGUGAAGAAGGUUUUCGGAUCGUAAAACUCUGUUGGUAGAGAAGAACGUUGGUGAGAGUGGAAAGCUCAUCAAGUGACGGUAACUACCCAGAAAGGGACGGCUAACUACG